ACAGAGGGUGCAAACGUUGUUCGGAAUUACUGGGCGUAAAGCGCACGUAGGCGGCUUUGCAAGUCAGAGGUGAAAGCCCGGGGCUCAACCCCGGAAUUGCCUUUGAGACUGCAUCGCUAGAAUUGUGGAGAGGUAAGUGGAAUUCCGAGUGUAGAGGUGAAAUUCGUAGAUAUUCGGAAGAACACCAGUGGCGAAGGCGACUUACUGGACACAUGUUGACGCUGAGGUGCGAAAGCGUGGGGAGCAAACAGGA
rnacentral:rRNA from 1 species